UGGGGAAUUUUGGACAAUGGGCGAAAGCCUGAUCCAGCAAUGCCGCGUGUGUGAAGAAGGCCUUCGGGUUGUAAAGCACUUUUGUCCGGAAAGAAAUCCUUGGCUCUAAUACAGUCGGGGGAUGACGGUACCGGAAGAAUAAGCACCGGCUAACUACGUGCCAGCAGCCGCGGUAAUACGUAGGGUGCAAGCGUUAAUCGGAAUUACUGGGCGUAAAGCGUGCGCAGGCGGUUUGCUAAGACCGAUGUGAAAUCCCCGGGCUCAACCUGGGAACUGCAUUGGUGACUGGCAGGCUAGAGUAUGGCAGAGGGGGGUAGAAUUCCACGUGUAGCAGUGAAAUGCGUAGAGAUGUGGAGGAAUACCGAUGGCGAAGGCAGCCCCCUGGGCCAAUACUGACGCUCAUGCACGAAAGCGUGGGGAGCAAACAGGAUUAGAUACCCUGGUAGUCCACGCCCUAAACGAUGUCAACUAGUUGUCGGGGAUUCAUUUCCUUAGUAACGUAGCUAACGCGUGAAGUUGACCGCCUGGGGAGUACGGUCGCAAGAUU
rnacentral:rRNA from 1 species